CAGGAAAUGGAAUAACUUUUUAAGACGCUACAGUGGUAAACUUGAGAAAUCCUCUUCUGCAUUUAAGAUCAAGAAUCCCAAUAGUAAAAACCGUGUAUAAGAGGAUGCUUGGUGUUCCAAGAAUGACCUACCUCUUCAAGAAACCAUCACUAUCCGGUUUCCUCUCUCUGUUCUGAUGAAGAUGGUGGUGCCAGGAAGAGGAUUGCGACUAUAUUACGAGUAUCAUCUCUUUCACAAAACCUCACCAGAACCCUAUUUUUCUUUCUCAUCGAGGUUUAUACUCUGAUAAAGUAUUCACCAUUUGAUUUACUUCAUUGUUAUGUUCUUCUGAAUGAUUCAAAUUUAAGAUACGUGUUAAUUUUUGUUUUGUUUAGUGUAACCUAAUUUGAACGAUUUGUAGAUGUCUCGUAUAAAUGUCGCUUGAAGUUUUUGUUGAUAUUACAAUCGCCCCAUGACUCUAUUUUUGUGUUCUGCAAUCGCUGCAUCUUUUUGUUAGAUGAUUCUGAGAAGAUUUUGUUGAUAUUGGUACGGGUCAUUUCAUUGAGGUUUGUGUUUUUUUUUUCUGUUCAACAUUUUUGGUUUGUGUUGCUUUUAUAAGUUAACUACGUUUGUUUUUUAGAAUUAGGGUUUGUAUAUGGUGGACAAACAGGUUAAUGUAAGUCUCCAGUGAACUAAUUGGAGUGUGGAUGGGUCGAUUAAAGGCUUAGAUCAUGGUUGUUGUUCUAAUUGUGCUUACUUCUUCUCCGAUUGUAGGGCGGUGGUGGUGCUAUCAGAUGGUCAUGCCAACUCUUAAGGGUGGUCAUUAUUCAACCGAUCCAUCAACAGUGUACCAUUGUUUUUAUGUUUUGUCACAUAUUGCAAGCUUGAAUUUGUGUUAUAUUUUAUGUUGCUGAAAGGGUUUUAUAUAUUUUUAUUAGAUUAUUAUUAUGGAUGCUCUGUUUCCAUAUAGCCACUAUAGGGUGAUAUACCGUUUGGUACGAUCAGGGAAGGACGGAAUGCAGCCUUGAUGACAUUUUAGUUGCUUGAAAAGCUAAAAAAGGAAUUACGUUUUCUUUCUUUGUUAAGAGGAGUACAUCAUUAAAUUGAAGGUAUGAAAUCUGGAUUUCAGAUUUUUUGCAGCUCUAUUAAUAGUGUGCAGACUAAAUUUCUAUUGUAAAGGGGGUAAAUUGUCCAGAAAUUUAAGACGCCUUAGCAACUAGAACCGUUCAUUUGCAUAUUCAGAGAAGAGAGAGAAGCAGAGAAGAUAAAGAGAGCAACGGGGGUUAGAGAGUGAACAAGCGAUUGGAGAGAGAACGGGAAAGAGACAGAGAGAGAGAGAGAGACAAUGGAGAAGGGGAGACCAGGCACGGCCUCCGGCCAUCCACCUUAAAAGUAGUAUAUAAUAAUUUUUAUAUACUUUCAGACUCCAAGUCGUAAAUUCCUCAUUCGUGUUUUAUAUUUGGAAAUUUAUAACGGGCCAUGGGAUACUUAUGAAUCGAACUUGUCAAGCAAUCUCAAUAAGCACCAUGUACCAAAGAACUUCGUGGAGAAGCUUGCUUUCAGGACAGUGAAGCUACUGAGAAUUCCAACUGAUUUAUUUUUCAAGUGAGUGGAACGUCCCAAAAAAAUCUAGCCAACGUAUUAUAAUCAUAAAAUUCGCGAUUGGAAUCAUAGAAUUCGCGAUUGAUUUUCUUAACUGGAUCGACGAUUGGUACGCCAGCGAUUUCACAGCGAUCGGUACGCCGGCGAUUUGCGAUUGGGUACAUCACGUACCAAUACGAAAAUCGCGACUCUUAGAGCGAAUUAGGUAACUAUGAUCUCGGCUCCGACCCUGAUGAGUUUGGUAUUGACAGUAGUGCUGAGAUCAUACAUUCCAUAUGAUGGUCUAUAAGUUUGGGUCAUUUGUUAAAUGCCAAACUUAUUGGUGAUGAAAUGGGUUUGUUUACCACGGUUGGGUAAACGGGUCAAAACGGAUGAAAUGGGUCAAUUUACCACGGUUGGGUAAACGGGUCAAAACGAGUUCAUGCCAAAACGUUUCUUUAUUGGGGUGGGUUAACCUGUUAAUCUUCAUUAAAAAAAUUAUACUAGACAAUAUAUCAAACGUUUUAUUUGUAUUUGUUAAGGAGUCAGGUUAUGCAUAAACUUGUUGUGGCCUGUGGAGCAGCCUGCGUGGAUUGUAAAUUUUAGAUGGGUUAUAAAAGUUUAACAUACUAACACAAGUAAAAAAUUUAAGUAUGACAGAGCAUUCAAUUCAGAUGGAUAAAUUUACCUCGAUUCGGUAGAUUGCAAGAUAGGCGCCAUAGUCGGCGGUGGCAACGACAUCUUGUGGAAUAGAAGUUGGGGCUUGUGGCUGAGCAUAAGUGCUUCCAUAAGCAUUGUAUGUGCCAUAAGCAACCUAAAAAGUAUAUCAAAAGGCUAUUCCUUCCAUGCUUUUGGCGUUAGUUCUCUGCUUUGACCACAGAAAAGUCAAAGAGGCUACAAACCCGCUGGAUAUAUCUCCACAAAAAGGGUAUAAAUACAUAUGGUAUGAUACGUGUGGAUAUGCUGUUGGAUUGGUAGCUGCAUUAGCAGCUGGAAUUCUUACUCAUUCUCCGCAGCCAUCACUUCUAUAUCUGGUGCCAUUGACACUUGGACCGAUAGUUGUGAUCUCCUGGGCACGAAAGGAGUUAUGGGAAGGAUCGACACCGAAUCUUACAGAGAAAACACAUUUGACAGAAGUUUAAGCCAUGGAACAUGUAAAUGGACUUUGGAUAAGUUAAGAAUGAUGUUGCUACUUUGGAAAUAACAUUUUGUUUAAUAUUA